UACAGAGGUGGCAAGCGUUGUUCGGAAUUACUGGGCGUAAAGAGCGCGCAGGCGGCUUGGUAAGUCGGAUGUGAAAACCCGAGGCUCAACCUCGGGCGUGCAUCCGAAACUGCUCGGCUAGAGGUAGGUAGGGGAGAUCGGAAUUCCUGGUGUAGCGGUGAAAUGCGCAGAUAUCAGGAGGAACACCGGUGGCGAAGGCGGAUCUCUGGGCCUUACCUGACGCUCAGGCGCGAAAGCUAGGGGAGCGAACUGG
rnacentral:rRNA from 1 species